rnacentral:rRNA from 1 species
AUUGAACGCUGGCGGCAGGCCUAACACAUGCAAGUCGAACGGUAACAGGGAUCAGCUUGCUGAUUCGCUGACGAGUGGCGGACGGGUGAGUAAUGUCUGGGAAACUGCCUGAUGGCGGGGGAUAACUACUGGAAACGGUAGCUAAUACCGCAUAACGUCGCAAGACCAAAGAGGGGGACCUUCGGGCCUCUUGCCAUCGGAUGUGCCCAGAUGGGAUUAGCCAGUAGGUGGGGUAACGGCUCACCUAGGCGACGAUCCCUAGCGGGUCUGAGAGGAUGAACAGCCACACUGGAACUGAGACACGGUCCAGACUCCUACGGGAGGCAGCAGUGGGGAAUAUUGCACAAUGGGCGCAAGCCUGAUGCAGCCAUGCCGCGUGUAUGAAGAAGGCCUUCGGGUUGUAAAGUACUUUCAGCGGGGAGGAAGGGAGUAAAGUUAAUACCUUUACUCAUUGACGUUACCCGCAGAAGAAGCACCGGCUAACUCCGUG